CUGUGGUUAGCUAAUAGUACAGGGUCAUACCCUUUAAUAACUUGGUCUUAAGUCAACCGACCGUAUAAGUUGAGUAUACUAAAGCUGCUAGUCUUGAAAAUCCUAAAAUGAGCUACAAUAACACAGGUGAAGAAGAUUAUGAUCCAUUGUUAGUUGAACAUAAAAGUGAUGCUGUACCAUCACCACCUCAGCCAUUGCCUCAGGCUCAGCCCAUGAGUCAGUUCAUUGAUAUAGAACAAUGCAAGGUACCUCCAGUUCCUCCGCAUUUGAUUCAUCCCCCACCUCAUAACCAUGUAGUCACUGUGAGGCAACCAAUGCCUAAUUACCUGGCACAGACAAGCCAGUCCAGUUCAAGUGAUUACUAUUUAAACUUUGCUGUCAUUUUGACUGUUCUUUGCUUCUUUUGUGGUACAUUUUUGGUUCUUUUGUGUACCAUUCCGGCCAUGGUAUUUGCUAGUCAAGCAAAAGAUGAAGAACUUCGUGGGGACAUGGAAGCCGCACAAAGGAGUCGCUGCUUAUCUCUGGCCUUCAGUGGGGGAGCAAUAGUAUUUGGUUGCGGUGUGGUCAUUUCUGCUUUACUGAUUUUAGGAGGUGCGAUUAGUUUUGAGUGAAAAGAAAGACAAUAAUCAUUGCAAUAACUUGUCAUUAAAUGUAUAUGUGUGUGUUUGUGUGUGUGCCUGCAUUCAUUACUGCUGUUCUGUAUAAUAGAUUAUCUAUAGAUGUAGAUAGUCUAUUUGUGACCCCGCCUUUGAAAAUGUUUACUUGUUGACUCAUUUUUAUAAAAAGUUGGUUGUCAAAUACCAUGGACUAUUGUAGUGCAUAACUUUCAUUGUUUAUUUUAAACAUCCUAUUCACUACAUUGUGAUUGGUUAGCUAUAAUGUGUACACACCUUUGAGUUGAGUGCAGCUGUAUAAGUAGAGCAAAGUCAAUUGGAGUCUAGUCUGUUUGGGAAAAUUCCAUUUCAGCAAAAAUGAGCUACAAUACUGCAAAAGAUGAAGUAGAUUUGGAGCUAUUUUUAAGUGAUCAAAAAGUAAGCUUACUUCAAGUUGGACUUACAAAAUGCUUUUCUUGUCUCCCCUGGAGAGUCAACCACCACCUGGACAUCAACUGACACUGCAACCAAUGGCCGCCAGAACUCACUUUGUUGUUACAGAGCAAUACCAAGUACCUCCAGUUUCUCCUAAUGUUAUUCCUCCUCCUCCAACUACUGCUAGCCAUGGAAUCACUGUGAGCCAGCCACUGCAGUCCAUGCAAAUGCAGUCAAGCGGUGAUUAUAGUUUAGGUGACUACUAUUUGGGCUUCUCUAUCUUUUUGACUGUUUUCUGUUUCUUCUGUGGCGCAUUUUUAGUUCUUUUGUGUACCAUUCCAGCCAUGAUAUUUGCAUACAAAUCAAAGGAUGAAGACCUUCGUGGAGAUGCUGUUGCUGCAGAAAACAGUCGCUGCGUAUCAAUGGUCUUUAAUAUUGGUGGAAUGAUAGUUGGUGGUGUUGUGAUAACUGCUAUUUCAUAUGUUGCACUUUCACUGACCAGCUAUAAGUAAAAAAAGACAAUAAUUGUGUAUUGAUUCACUUAAGUUCAGUCAGUGUGUUUUUAUCAAUAAUAAUUUUAAUUAUGAUCUGGGGCGUGGCUGAAUUGUAGCCACGCCUUUUUGCAGAAUGAGCUGACCCCCACCCUUAAGGCCUUGUAUGAUGCGCGAUUAUGUCUGCGGAAGAAAGAGCAUCUCUUUUGAUACCCAGAGGAAACGAGCAUGAGCCAAAUACAGAACUACAAUGAAUGCUUGUAUCUGAAGGUGACAGUGACUCUGACCAAAUUUUGCCAAAAAUUAAAAGGUAGAGAU